UACGUAGGGGGCAAGCGUUGUUCGGAAUUACUGGGCGUAAAGGGCGCGUAGGCGGGAUGGCAAGUCGGUCGUGAAAUCCUACGGCUCAACCGAAGAACGUCGAUCGAUACUGCUGUUCUUGAGGGUUGCAGAGGAGACUGGAAUUCCCGGUGUAGCGGUGAAAUGUGUAGAGAUCGGGAGGAACACCGGUGGCGAAGGCGGGUCUCUGGGCAAUUCCUGACGCUGAGGCGCGAAAGCGUGGGGAGCAAACGGG
rnacentral:rRNA from 1 species